GUGGGGAAUCUUCCACAAUGGACGAAAGUCUGAUGGAGCAACGCCUCGUGAGUGAAGAAGGGUUUCGGCUCGUAAAGCUCUGUUGUCGGGGACGAAUGUGCAGUAUUUGAAUAAAGUACUGUAAUGACGGUACCUGACGAGGAAGCCACGGCUAACUACGUGCCAGCAGCCGCGGUAAUACGUAGGUGGCAAGCGUUGUCCGGAAUUAUUGGGCGUAAAGGGAGCGCAGGCGGGGAGGUAAGUCGGUCUUAAAAGUGCGGGGCUCAACCCCGUGAUGGGAUCGAAACUAUCUUUCGUGAGUGCAGGAGAGGAAAGUGGAAUUCCUAGUGUAGCGGUGAAAUGCGUAGAUAUUAGGAGGAACACCAGUGGCGAAGGCGACUUUCUGGACUGUAACUGACGCUGAGGCUCGAAAGCCAGGGGAGCGAACGGGAUUAGAAACCCCUGUAGUCC
rnacentral:rRNA from 1 species